GGGAAGGGGGAGAAAAAGAGAGAGACCUUGGAAGUGUCAUGAUUAUAAAUGAUCCUUUCUCCAGGAGCCAACUGUGCCUGAGAACAACCUCGCCUGUGAGGUUCAUGCUGCAAAAUGAUUAUCACAUCAUAAACAGAUCUGGCUGAGUCCUGGCUUUGUGGAGGACUUUACUCAAGAAAACGCUGAUGGGCUGGGGUAGGAAGGAUGCAUGGUAAAGGUCUUGGGUCUUUAUUGACUGCUUGAGCCCAUAGGAUGCUGUCUAAGAACAAAGGCAGUAGGUAAGGUUGUUAUUUCUUCAUGUUGCACAUGAAGACCUGGCCUCUGCUCUCCCCAUGUGGUUGUGACAACAUGCAACACCCAACCCCUUCCUGUGGGUGCAGCAGGAGAAAAUUGGAUGGAAUUUUGCAGCUCCAAAACCUUGUGAUCCAGCUUUAAGUCUUGCACUGGUUUUUGGACUUGGCUAGCUCUGUGUCAUGCAUAGCUGUUUGUUUUCAGAGACUUCACACUACUCCUGAUUUUCGUCUACUUAGCGUUCCUAUUUUUUUUACAUCCAGUUCAGUUUGGGAAAAUGUGAGUUCAACAUAGAACAAACCGUAGUGCUUCAAACACUGUUACUUGAAAGUACCACAGCAAGUGCAAAAAUCAGAACAGAUU